GGUGAUUCAUAGUAACCGAACGGAUCGCAUUAUAAUUAUCAUUAUUUGAUGAUUGGCGAUAGAUCAUUCAAGUUUCUGACCUAUCAGCUUUCGACGGUAGUGUAUUGGACUACCGUGGCAGUGACGGGUAACGGGGAAUUAGGGUUCGAUUCCGGAGAGGGAGCCUGAGAAACGGCUACCACAUCUAAGGAAGGCAGCAGGCGCGCAAAUUACCCAAUCCUGACUCAGGGAGGUAGUGACAAGAAAUAACAACACUGGAAAUUUGAUUUCUAGUGAUUGGAAUGAUGGGAAUCCAAACCCCUUUCAGAGUAACAAUUGGAGGGCAAGUCUGGUGCCAGCAGCCGCGGUAAUUCCAGCUCCAAUAGCGUAUAUUAAAGUUGUUGCAGUUAAAAAGCUCGUAGUUGGAUGUCUGCUGGAAGCAAUCAGUCCGCCCUAUUUGUAGGGUGUGCACUUGAUGAAUUCUGGCAUUUUUGUCCCAAUGAUGUAACGGAGCGGUGGUAUUCGGUGAAAGCCGAGUAUCCCGUUUUCCGAUUAUUGGGAUACUGUUACUUUGAGAAAAUUAGAGUGUUUGAAGCAGGCUAAUUGCCUUGAAUACUGCAGCAUGGAAUAACAAUAUAGGAUUUCGGUUCUAUUUUGUUGGUUUCUAGGACUGAAAUAAUGAUUAAUAGGGACAGUUGGGGGCAUUCGUAUUUAACUGUCAGAGGUGAAAUUCUUAGAUUUGUUAAAGACGAACUACUGCGAAAGCAUUUGCCAAAGAUGUUUUCAUUAAUCAAGAACGAAAGUUAGGGGCUCGAAGACGAUCAGAUACCGUCGUAGUCUUAACCAUAAACUAUGCCGACUAGAGAUAGGAAAAUGUCAUUUUGCUGACUUCUCCUGCACCUUAUGAGAAAUC
rnacentral:rRNA from 1 species